UAAAACUACCAGCGCAAGCUCGAAACUUAAAGGACUUGACGGUGCUUCAGAUGCCCUAGAGGAGCCUGUCCUGUAACCGAUAAUCCCCGUUAAACCUUACCUUCUUUAGCAUUCAGUCUAUAUACCGCCGUCUUCAGUUCACUCCUUGAGGAAGCAUUAGUGAGCAAAAUCGGCUUAAGCCCAAAACGUCAGGUCGAGGCAUAGCAUACAAGAAGCGAAGAGAUGGGCUACAUUUCCUAAAAGGACCUGCGGAUAGAGUUUUGAAACAGACUCUUGAAGGAGGAUUUAGCAGUAAGUAAAAAAUAGAGCGUUUU
rnacentral:rRNA from 1 species